GGGGUGUACCGAAAAAGGAUUACCAAAGAAACACUUUUCCACCAUAUUGUGUUGGAAUGGGUUAUAUCCUUAGUUCAGAUGUCCUUCAUAAUAUGAUGGUGAUUGUACCCAAGCAACCAUUGUUUAAACUGGAAGACGUCUAUAUUGGUCUGAUUCUAGAAAAAUUAAAGAUAGUGCCAGUAGAUAGACGUAAAUAUUUACAGGUACAUUCUGAUUACUCCUGGGAUGUUUGCCAACAUAAAGACAUGUUGUUAAGUCUAGAAGCAAAUCCAAAACAAAUGCUGCAAUUAUAUUUGAAGUUUUCAAAAUUAGGGAAAUGUGGUCCUGUAGAUUAUGUUAAAAAGGCGUAGUUUGUAUUGUUCCUGUACAGUGAAUUUGAAAUGUAAUUUUUAAUAUUAUUCGUAAGUAUUUGAAAGCGUCUUUUAUAUUAAUUGUUGGUAAAUAAUUUGACAAAGUAUCGUAGCUUAAAUUAUUAUUGGCAAAUAAAUUGUGGGCGCAUGUUGAAGAUUGCUCGUGGACAUCGGCC